CUGGUGGCGAGCGGCGGACGGGUGAGUAAUGCCUAGGAAUCUGCCUAGGUAGUGGGGGAUAACGCUCGGAAACGGACGCUAAUACCGCAUACGUCCUACGGGAGAAAGCAGGGGACCUUCGGGCCUUGCGCUAUCAGAUGAGCCUAGGUCGGAUUAGCUAGUUGGUGAGGUAAUGGCUCACCAAGGCGACGAUCCGUAACUGGUCUGAGAGGAUGAUCAGUCACACUGGAACUGAGACACGGUCCAGACUCCUACGGGAGGCAGCAGUGGGGAAUAUUGGACAAUGGGCGAAAGCCUGAUCCAGCCAUGCCGCGUGUGUGAAGAAGGUCUUCGGAUUGUAAAGCACUUUAAGUUGGGAGGAAGGGCAGUUACCUAAUACGUGAUUGUUUUGACGUUACCGACAGAAUAAGCACCGGCUAACUCUGUGC
rnacentral:rRNA from 1 species